GGGUCAGGAGGUUGGUCGUGCCACCGGUACGUACUGGUCUCACUGAUUCCUCCUUCCUGAAGAACCGUAAUGCCAUUAAUUUGGUGUUGCGGGGAAACAGGACUGUUACUUUGAAAAAAUUAGAGUGUUUAAAGCAAGCUAACGCUUGAAUACAUUAGCAUGGAAUAAUGAAAUAGGACGAUCGAUCCUAUUUUGUUGGCUUCUAGGAUUGACGUA
rnacentral:rRNA from 1 species